CCACAAAUCCAGGUAGGGAGGGGGCCAAGGUCUGGCCAGCUGAGCAGGGCACAACCGGCAAAUGAGAGGCAUGGAGAGUGAGGGAGCUGAAGCCCAAGUCAUGAUCCAGUGGAGGAGCAGGCACGGAGCUGGCAGGCGGUGGCGCCAGCGCAGGACUGGGCGCCGCGGGUCCAGCGUUGGAGAGACUGGGAUGGGGCUGGUGACUCCGGCCCGCCUGAGGACAGAGAUGGAGGCCGAUAAGUAAACCGAGGUUCAAAGAGGUCCUGGAACCACCUGCAACGAUCCUGGGAUUCAUCAGGGGUCUGAGCCGAGGAGCCACCUCCACUGGGAUGCCUUCCCUGCUGCAACCCACUCCACACCACCAUUCCUUUUCCUUGCAGAACCUUGGAUCACACCUGACUCUGGCUAUUCCGAUGUCAUCUCCAUCUCCUGGAGACAGUUGCUGCAUGAGAACAAAGGCAGGGCCCAGACCAGGUCUGGAGGGAUAAGUGACAGGGAUAUGGGCACUGAGCUGAGGCACUGGGCAGGCAGAGCCACUGCCCUUACCCCUACCAUGAACCCCUAGAGAGAGGCUGCUAGAACCUUCAUUUCUAAGGAGCAAGAGAGUGUGGCUACCCUGCCUCUAAUUAUUCCUCCAUAGGCACACAGGCCUUCUCUCCACCCAGGGAGCACACAUCUGCCAAGAGCAGCCCUGCCCCCACACCAGGCUCUCCAGCAGUGAGGAGCUGGGCUGGGCUGUCCUCACCCGCCCUCCUGGUUCUUCCCUGGCCCUGCCUUGGGAUGCCAGGACCCACAGCAGGUGCCUGGAAAGGCUUGGGGAUGAAGAGGGGCCUGGGCACAAAAGGCCACCCUCUGGCCAAGAGCAGAACUUAAAGAAACAAAUUCCAGAAUCCUCUUCGUCCUCCUUUUCCCCACCCACUCUUUAGUUCUGUUAAUAAUAACAGCUACCAUUUACCAGGCACCUAAUGUCUUUCUUUGCACAGUAUUUGAUACUGUAUGUGCAUUGUUUGUUUAAUCCUAAAUCAAUCCUGACGCAUAGGUAUUACCCUCCUCAUCUUUCUGAUGAGGAAAUAGAAAUUCAGAGAGGCUAUAUCCCUUGUCCAAAGUCAGUGUUGGACUGGUCAGUGGCAGAGCCAAGAUUCACACCCCACAUCUUUCCAUGCCCUUGUCCUCCAAUGCUGACCCCAGGUGCUGCUCUCCUCGCCCUAGGUGGUGACUCUCUGCUAUACGUCUGCCUCCCACAUUAGCUUGAGAGCUGUGGGAUAGCAAGGGCUGUCCCGUCCUCUCAGUGGCCCCAGUGAAGGAAUGAAGGAAUGCUUGUAGAAUAUUACCUUGGCUGUUAGAGGGCACAGCAUGGUAGUUACACACAUGGGCUCAGGAGCCCAAGUGCUGGGGUUCAAAUCUCAGCUCUUACUUCCUUUAUGACCUUGAGACACUAGUAUUUCUGUCUCAAUUUUCUCAUCUGUAAAAUGGACAUGAUAGUGAAUGCUGGUAUUGAGGAGACUGAGUUAGGAAAAGUUCCUGUCCUAUAGUAAGUACUGCCUGUGUUAGAUAAGAUGCAGUGUCUCCCUCCAGACUAGAAGGGGCCCGGUCCCACUCUCUGCUUGCAUCCCCAGCACUUAGCACAGGGUUUGCCUGGAGUAGGUCCUUCCCUUCCUCAUCUAUAAAAUAUUACUAAAAAUACCCACCUGGCAAGAUUAAGGAGAUGUAUGUAAACUUCCUGGCACAGGGCAGAAGUUGGCAUCAG